rnacentral:rRNA from 1 species
UACAGAGGUCUCAAGCGUUGUUCGGAUUCAUUGGGCGUAAAGGGUGCGUAGGCGGCGCGGUAAGUCGGGUGUGAAAUUUCGAGGCUUAACUUCGAAACUGCAUUCGAUACUGCCGUGCUUGAGGACUGGAGAGGAGACUGGAAUUUACGGUGUAGCGGUGAAAUGCGUAGAGAUGUGGAGGAACACCAGUGGCGAAGGCGACUCUUUGGCCUGUAACUGACACUGAGGCGCGAAAGCGUGGGGAGCAAACAGG